GAGUUUGAUCAUGGCUCAGGAUGAACGCUAGCGACAGGCUUAACACAUGCAAGUCGAGGGGCAGCGGGGAGGUAGCAAUACUUCCGCCGGCGACCGGCGCACGGGUGAGUAACACGUAUGCAACCUGCCCCUGUCAGGGGGACAACCCGCCGAAAGGCGGGCUAAGCCCGCGUAUAUCUCCCCGGGGCAUCCCGGGGGGAGGAAAGGAGCGAUCCGGACAGGGAUGGGCAUGCGGCGCAUUAUCUGGUCGGCGGGGUAACGGCCCACCCAGGCGACGAUGCGUAGGGGUUCUGAAAGGAAGGCCCCCCACACUGGUACUGAGACACGGACCAGACUCCUACGGGAGGCAGCAGUGAGGAAUAUUGGUCAAUGGGCGGGAGCCUGAACCAGCCAAGCCGCGUGAGGGAAGAAGGUACAGCGUAUCGUAAACCUCUUUUGUCAUGGAACAAAGGCGGGGACUAGUCCCCGGAUGAGGGUACCUGAAAAAAAAGCAUCGGCUAACUCCGUGCCAGCACCCGCGGUAAUACGGAGGAUGCGAGCGUUAUCCGGAUUUAUUGGGUUUAAAGGGUGCGCAGGCGGCCUGUUAAGUCAGCGGUAAAAGCCCGGGGCUCAACCCCGGCGAGCCGUUGAAACUGGCGGGCUGGAGUUGGAGAGAAGUACGCGGAAUGCGCGGUGUAGCGGUGAAAUGCUUAGAUAUCGCGCAGAACCCCGAUUGCGAAGGCAGCGUACCGGCUCCAGACUGACGCUGAGGCACGAAAGCGUGGGUAUCGAACAGGAUUAGAUACCCUGGUAGUCCACGCAGUAAACGAUGAAUGCUUGCUGUCCGGGCAGUGAUAUGCCUGGGGGGCGAAGCGAAAGCGAUAAGCAUUCCACCUGGGGAGUACGCCGGCAACGGUGAAACUCAAAGGAAUUGACGG
rnacentral:rRNA from 1 species